rnacentral:lncRNA from 10 species
CCCAGCCCUGUGAGCUCGCAUGGCGCGCCCUCUGGGUCCUCGCGGUCACCUUGCAUUCCGAGCACGGCCGUGUUAUGUAUGCCUUUAGUUGAUGCUGGCCAAAAUUAGACAACUUAGUGGCAGACGUCGAGCUAGAAUUUUUGUUUGAGAUCCUUUUUCCCUGGUCGUCUUUCCAAACUGCGUGAGUGCAUGGCCUCGAGGCGGCCCUGGAGGGAUUUUCUUGUUAAACUUCAUACAGAACUAAUUAGGAAAGAGGAAAUCUUAGGAGGAGUUCUUUGCUGUCUCAGAAGAAAUGCCAGUUCUUCUUCCGGAAUCGAUGGGGAAUGGAAUGGGGCAGGUAUAUGUGCUCAUAGCUGCCAAAACUUCCCUGGAAUGCAAAGCAGAGCCAUGGACAACAGAUUGGGGUAAGAAAUUCUCCUAAAUGAAGUAAGUGAGACAAAAAGGCCCAAAACCUUUAUGAGAUUAUUUCCUUUGAAGCAGUCUCCUUUUUCUUUGUGUAGCAUUUAUCAGCUUGUGAUUGAGUCAUCUAUUGCUGCAGAUCGAACUCUCCCAAAAUAUAGUUGCUUGCAAAAAUGUCAAUUUAAUAUUUCUCAUAAUUCUGAAGGUUGGUUAUGUGGUUCCUCUCUGGUUUUGAUUUGGCUCACUCGUAUAGAUACAUUCAGCUGUAGCAGGGGUUGGCCAAGUUUUCUGUAAAACAGGAUCAGAUAGUAAAUAUUUUAGACUUUGUCUCUGUCACAUAUUCUUUUUUAUUUAAUUUUUAUAAACUAUUAAAAACCCAAAGCUAUUCAUAGCUCAAGGGCCAUACAGAAGCAGGCUAUGGCCUACAGGCUGUAGUUUGCUGAUCCCUGAACUGGAGAAUCAGCUAAGCUGAAAGUCCAAGGUGGCCUCACUCAUGUGUCUGCUGUUGGCUCCAUGUGGCCUCUUAUCCUGCAGUAGGCUAUGUUUUUGGUCUGUGGGCAACAUCCAGAAGAGAGCAGGCAGAAGCUGUAAAAUUUCUUAAGGCCUAGACUUGGGAGUCACACAAGAUCAUAUAUGCCAAAUUCUACAAAUCAAAGCAAAUUGUGAGGCCUCUCCAAAUCCAAGGGGCAGGCAAAUAGUCUCUGCCUCUUGAUGGAAGGAGCUGCAGAUAAUGUGGCCAGAACUAGCUAAACUAAGUGGCAGGAACCUUAUUCUUGAAAGUAAAUCAUCAAACUUCAAAUUUAUGAUAUCUGAUGGCAGCUAUUGUUCUUACUCACUUCUCUCCCCAAACUACCCAAACCUGUUUAUAAUUCUGUGAGCACUCACUUGCCUCAGAACUUGUUUACAGAUGUCUCUGCCAUGAGAUUAUCAGCAACCUGAGGGAAGAGACAGGCCCUACCGCACUGCCUUGCUGUAAUAUAUCUUCAAUAGAUAUAUAUGGAAUUUAGCUGAAUAGCCUUACUGAGGUUUAAAGUCAGGUUAUUUGCUUACUUCACAAAAGCAAAAUAAAUUUAAGUAUCCUGCACUAUCUACAAAUUCCAGAAGAAAAGCACACAUCAAAGAGUUAUAUGUCACACUCACAUACCAUCUGACCAAUAAGAUGGAAACCUUCCUAGCAAUUUUCCGAACAUAUAAUCAAGAGUUAGGAAGCCAUAUGCCUAAUGAUAAGUUUGAACUAGCAGUCACCUUUAAGGCUAUAUUACAUUUUAACCUUAAAUUUGUCUGCAGAUGAAAAUUGAAAUGUAACAACAGUUCUUUCGUAAUAUGUGCUAUAUAUGUUUCAAGGCAGAUGUGGUUCUGGGCAGGGUUUCUAAUCUACAGGAAAUGCUUCUACUAAUUGUUCAGUUGAAUUUUUCAAUAUGUGCCUUCUCCAAAAUCUGACUGUGACUGUCUUCUUCCACUUGAUGGAAAGCUUUGACAAUUUAUUAUGCUUAGAAGCAGCUGGGGUGUAUUUCUAAUUGAUGAUUUGUUAUAUUUCUUACUUGACUAUCCACAUCUUUCAUUCUCUUCAGCAUUUUCCUCCAGCACUUCCUGUCUUACUGAAUUUGAUAUAUGACACUGCCUUUGUGCAAAUGUAGACAAUAUCUUCAGCCUUCUGCCUCUGUCCUUCAGAUUACCACUAGGCUGUCUUCCUCAAACCCAGAUCUUGUCAGGCAUUCCUAUUUUAAAUUGGUCAGUGACUUCCCACAGGGCACAAUCCAAAGGGCUACAGAACCUUUUGUAAUCUACCUCAGCCUACCAGCUCCUGCCAUGCAUGCAUUUUCAUGCACUGUCAUUGUGCCCACUGUUACCUCAGAGUACAGUUUUAUUCUCUGAGUCCCUCCAUCCCAGAACCACACCCAUCUGACUCAUCCAAGUCCCACAACCACUAUAGUAAUGCUUCUCAAACCUAAAUGUGCAUAGGAAUCACUGGAGAAUCUUAUUAAAAGCAGAUUCUGAUUCAUUAGGUCCUGGAUAGGGCUGGAGAUUCUGCCUAUUAACAAACCAACUGUGCAGGGCACGGUGGCUCAUGCCUGUAAUCUCAGCACUUUGGGAGGCUGAGAUGGGCAGAUAGCUUGAGCUCCUGAGUUCAAGACCAACCUGGGCAACAUAGCAAAACCCUGCCUCUACUAAAAAUACAAAAAUUAGCCUGGCAUGGGGGCGUGCAUCUGUAGUCCCAGCUACUCAGGAGGCUGAGCUGGGAGGAUUGCUUGAGCUUGGGAGGUCAAGGCUGCAGUGAGCUGUGAUUGCACCACUGCACUCCAGCCUGGGUGACAGAGCAAGACCUUGUCUCAAGACAAAAACAAAAACAGACAACCCACCAAUUGGUAAUAGGAUACUGCUGGUUGUUAGGCUGCAAUUUGAGUAGCAAGAGUCUAGAGCUGCACUGUUCAAUAGAACUUUCUGCAAUGAUAAAAAUGCUCUUAGGUGUUUUCUAAUAUUGUAGAAACUAAUGACAUGUAGCUAUUGAAUACUCGAAAUGUAGCUAAUGAGACUGAGGAACUGAAUUUUAAAUUUUACUUAGUUUAAGUUUCAGUAGCUACAUGUGAGUAAGUGGCCACCAUGUUGAACAAUGCAGAUGUAUAGGAAUCCCUUUCAUCCUUCAAAACUCAUUCAGACUUCUGGUUUUCAGUCCAGCAUGUAAGACCUUAGAAGUCACCAUUCCAUCCUAAUAACAAGUAAAAAGCUAAACAAACUUAAAAAUACUUAACUCUUUGUAUAUUUUUUGGAAAAGUGAGGUUAUGGGGCAAACUGCAUUUCCCAAACUGGAGAGACAGACAGGUAGAUACAGAGAAUUACAGAAUUAAAAGAAAAGAAAAAAAAUGACAUUUUGAGCUGGACAAAUAAAAACAAACAACAAAACAAACAGAAAAUACAGAGAAUUAUAACUUAUCAGAGCAGAAAACCAUGAGCUGAAAUCUCUACAGGAACCAGUGCUGGGGUAGGAAAACCUAAACUGUUAAAUGAUGAAUUGCUAGAAGUUCUGUGUUGGCAAGUCUGAGAGUUAAAAACUUCAGGGGGACCUAGUCAUGGUGGGUGGAACCCAUACUUUUAGUGUGUUUUAACUCCUGGAGUUCUACCAGGUUCACACAGUGAAUAUCAGAGAAAAACCCCCCAGUGCUUCCGGCGGAGGGAGGAGAAAAGAAACCAUUUUGAAAUGUGCCAGAACAUUCUGUUCUUAACAAGAGCUGCCCUCAGAAGAAAGUAGCUAAGUGGAACCUAGCCUGCUGGGGUUUUAUCAGAGCCUAACUGACCUGGAGGAAGGGAAAUACUGAACUCCAUUCCCUCUAGACUUCCACAUAUGAGAAGGGAAAUACCCAAAUCCAGCCCAUUCUAGCUAUCCUAUCCUACCUAACAUGUUAGGGGUGAGUAUAGAAGUAAAGAACUGAGAGGCACUUGUGAAGUUCAUGAUCCAGAGGCACAGGCUCACUAAAAGACUGAGACCUAAUCAUAGGACUAUAGAAUGCUCCCCCACCUAUACAUACACCUUACCAUCACAUUACUAAAGGAACAUCACAGCAAUUUCUUUAACCCAGUACAUUAUGUCCAGUUAUCAAGAAAAAAUUACGAGGCAUACUAAAAGGAAAAACACAGUUUGAAGAGACAGUACAAGCAUCAGAACCAAAUUCAAGAUAUGGUAGAGAUGUUGGUAUUAGACCACUAAUUUAAAAUAACUAUGAUUAAUUUACUAAGAGCUUUAACACAUAAAGUAGAUAGCAUGAAAAGACCAAUAGGUAAUGUAAGCAGAGAGAUAGAUAAUUUAAUAAGGUACCAAAAAAGAUGGUAGAGAUCAAAAGCACUGUAGCAGAAAUGAAGAAUGCCUUUGAUGGUCUUAGUAGACUGGACACAGCUGAAGGAAAAAAUCUCUGAACAUGAAGCCAUCUCAAUAGAAACUGCCAAAACUGAAAAACAGAAAAAAGACUGAAAAAAAAGAAAACCUACCCAGAACAGAAUAUACAAGAGCUGUGGCUCAACUACAAAAGGCGCAACAUGUGUAAUGGGAAUAACCAAGAGAAGAAAAAGAGAAAGAAACAAAAGAAAUAUUUGAAACAAUAAUGACAAAAUUUCCCCUAAAUUAAUGUCAGACAGCAAACCACAAGUCCAGAAAGCUGAGAGAACACCAAGCAGAAUAAAUGUAAAAAACACCCACACCUAAGCAUAAUGUAUUCAAACUACAAAAAAAUCAAAGAUAAAAGAAAAUUCUGAAAGAAGUCAGUGAAAUAAAACCCACCUUAUCUAUAGAGGAGCAAGGAUAAGAAUUACACCUGGUUUUUCCUCGGAAACCAUGCAAGCAAAAAAAGAGUAGAGUGAAAUAUUUAAAGUGUUGAGAGAAGCAAACAAACUGGAAUUCUGCAACAUGUAAAAUUAUCCUUCAAAAGUAAAAAAAAAAAAAAAAAAAAAAAAAAAAUUGAGGGAAUUUGUUUCCAGUGGACUGCUUUGGAAGAAAUGUUAAAAAAAAAAAAGUCCUUUAGAGAGAAGGAAAAUAAUAGAGGUCAGAAAUUUGGACCUGUGUAAAGAAAAGAAUAGCAAUGGAGAAGGAGUAAAUGAAGAUAAAAAUAAUAACAUUCUGACAUGGUUUGAAUCUGUGUUCCUACCAAAAUCUCAUGUUGAAAUGUUAUCCCCAAUGCUGGAGGUGAGGCCUGGUGGGAGACAACUGGAUCAUGGGAGUGGUUUCUCAUAGCUUAACAUCAUUGCCCCCUUGGUGCUGUCAUUGCAAUGAGCUCUCAUGAAAUCUGGUCAUUUAAUAGUGUGUGGCACCUCACUCCCCAACGCCCCCACACCUGCCAACACUUCCUCCUGCUCUGGCCAUGUGAAGAGUUGGCUUCCCGUUCCUCUUCCACCAUGAUUGUAAGAUUCCUGAGGCCUCCCCAGAAACUGAGUAGAUGCUGCCUUGCUUCCUGUACAGCCUGUGGAACCAUGAGCCAAUUAAACCUCUUUGCUUUAUAUAUUACCCAGUUUUAGGUAUUUCUUUAUGGCAGUGUGAUAACCAACUAAUAUACUUUUUAAAAUUCUUAAUUGAUCUGACAGAUAACAGUUUGUUCAAGAUAGUAAUAACGUAUUUGAUUAUGUAUGUUUGUGUAUGGCUAUAUAUAACUGAAAUGAAUGAAAGCAAUGAAACAAGGAUAGGAUGGAGAAAUGAGGAUUAUUUUGUUAUUACAAGGUACUCACACUACCCAUGAAGUGGUAUAGUGUUAUUUGAAAGAUGACUUGAACUUGUUUUAAAUGUAUAUUGCAAACUCUAGGGCACCCACUAAAAAAAGUUUUAAAAAAUAAAUAUAACUGCCGGGUGCGGUGGCUCACGCCUGUAAUCCCAGAACUUUGAGAGGCUGAGGUCACGAGGUCAGGAGUUUGAGAACAGCCUGACCAACAUGGUGAAACCCCGUGUCUACUAAAAAUAUGAAAAUUAGCCAGGCAUGGUGGCACACGCCUGUA